AUACGAAGGGGGCUAGCGUUGUUCGGAAUUACUGGGCGUAAAGCGCACGUAGGCGGAUAUUUAAGUCAGGGUGAAAUCCCGCAGCUCAACUGCGGAACUGCCUUUGAUACUGGGUAUCUCGAGUAUGGAAGAGGUGAGUGGAAUUCCGAGUGUAGAGGUGAAAUUCGUAGAUAUUCGGAGGAACACCAGUGGCGAAGGCGGCUCACUGGUCCAUUACUGACGCUGAGGUGCGAAAGCGUGGGGAGC
rnacentral:rRNA from 1 species